CGCCCGCGGCUCGCCUCAGCUCCCGGCCCGCUGUGCCGCUGUGCGCCGCCGCGAGCCAAGUUGCGCGGACCCCGUCCCGGCCCGCGCCGCGCCAUGGACGCGCCCGCCCGUCCGCUGCUGGCCCCGCUCCUGCUCCUCUGCGCGCAGCUGCUCCGCGGCACCAGAGCGAUGAAUGACAUUGGCGACUACGUGGGCUCCAACCUGGAGAUCUCCUGGCUCCCCAACCUGGAUGGGCUGAUAGCCGGCUAUGCCCGCAACUUUCGGCCUGGCAUUGGAGGGCCUCCCGUGAAUGUGGCCCUCGCUCUGGAGGUGGCCAGCAUCGACCACAUCUCAGAGGCCAACAUGGAGUACACCAUGACGGUGUUCCUGCACCAGAGCUGGCGGGACAGCAGGCUCUCCUACAACCACACCAAUGAGACCCUGGGCCUGGACAGCCGCUUCGUGGACAAGCUCUGGCUGCCCGACACCUUCAUCGUGAACGCCAAGUCGGCCUGGUUCCACGACGUGACAGUGGAGAACAAACUCAUCCGGCUGCAGCCCGACGGCGUGAUCCUGUACAGCAUCCGAAUCACCUCCACUGUGGCCUGCGACAUGGACCUGGCCAAAUAUCCCAUGGAUGAGCAGGAGUGCAUGCUGGAGCUGGAGAGCUACGGUUACUCAUCGGAGGACAUUGUCUACUACUGGUCGGAGAGCCAGGAGCACAUCCACGGUCUGGACAAGCUGCAGCUGGCGCAGUUCACCAUCACCAGCUACCGCUUCACCACGGAGCUGAUGAACUUCAAGUCCGGUAACGUGUGCCUGCCGCCCCUUCCGCGUGUGCCCGCCGCCCCUUCCAUGUGUGCCCGCCGCCCCUUCCGUGUGUGCCCACCGCCCCUUCCGCGUGUGCCCGCCGCCCCUUCCGCGUGUGCCCUCCUGUGGUUUUCAUGCUUUUUCGCCAAGCCACCCGCAGGCCCUCAGGGCCCCUGGGGAUGCAGCUGGGACGCUCCUGCCUUAGGAACUUGCUCAUUGGCACCAGCUACACCCACACCAGGGCCGCCAGGCCUGCCAUCGUAUGGACGUGGGUCAGCCCUUCCCAUCUCACUCCUCGGUCCUCUCUCUUCCCAGCACUCCAGCCGGCCAGUUCCCGCGGCUCAGCCUGCACUUUCACCUGCGGAGGAACCGCGGCGUGUACAUCAUCCAGUCCUACAUGCCCUCUGUCCUGCUGGUCGCCAUGUCCUGGGUCUCCUUCUGGAUUAGCCAGGCGGCGGUGCCCGCCAGGGUGUCUCUAGGCAUCACCACGGUGCUGACGAUGACCACGCUCAUGGUCAGUGCCCGCUCCUCCCUGCCACGGGCAUCGGCCAUCAAGGCACUGGAUGUCUACUUCUGGAUCUGCUACGUCUUCGUGUUUGCCGCCCUGGUAGAGUACGCCUUCGCGCACUUCAAUGCCGACUACAGGAAGAAGCAGAAGGCCAAGGCCAAGGUCAAGGUCUCCAGGCCGAGGGCAGAGAUGGACGUGAGGAACGCCAUCGUCCUCUUCUCCCUCUCUGCUGCCGGCGUCACGCAGGAACUGGCCAUCUCCCGCCGGCAGCGCCGCAUCCCGGGGAACCUGAUGGGCUCCUACAGGUCGGUGGGGGUGGAGACGGGGGAGAUGAAGAAGGAGGGGGCAGCCCGCUCAGGAGGCCAGGGGGGCAUCCGCGCCCGGCUCAGGCCCAUCGACGCAGACACCAUUGACAUUUACGCCCGCGCUGUGUUCCCUGCGGCAUUCGCGGCCGUCAAUGUCAUCUACUGGGCGGCGUACGCCAUGUGAGCGCAGGACUCAGGCCACCCUCGCUUGUCCUGGCGCCCGGCAGUGGCUGCCCAGAAACUUCCUGGGAGAAAGAGCCCUUGGUCCACCUUCCCUCUCUGCGUGUUUCAAAGUGGGAUGACAGUCGGCCACGGAAAACAAGAGGAAGCCUCGGCCUCCCUGAGCUCUGACCUCACCCGAAAGGCCAGCCUGGGGCUCUCCAGUAGGCAGCGCGAGACCCGCACAGAUGAAGGAGCAGAGGGUCUGACCGAGAGACUGAGCCAGGCUGGGGUCUGGGCCCUUGAGGGAGCCGCGGAUUUUUAGGCUCAGAAAGUGAUCCUGGUUUCUAGGUCUCUGCUGUGCGGGAUGGGGAUCGGAGCGUGGGAGGAGGUGGGAGCGGACGUCCAUCCGGUGAGCAGUGAAGGCGUUGGUGAGGUCUCUCUGGCCCCAGCAUGAAAUAAAGCCUUGGCCUGGGGGCCGCUUCGUUCUC